rnacentral:rRNA from 1 species
UACGUAGGGUGCGAGCGUUGUCCGGAAUUAUUGGGGCGUAAAGGGCUCGUAGGCGGUUUGUCGCGUCGGGAGUGAAAACCUUGGGCUUAACUCAGGGCUUGCUUUCGAUACGGGCAGACUAGAGGUAUGCAGGGGAGAACGGAAUUCCUGGUGUAGCGGUGAAAUGCGCAGAUAUCAGGAGGAACACCGUGGCGAAGGCGGUUCUCUGGGCAUGAUCUGACGCUGAGGAGCGAAAGUGUGGGGAGCGAACAGG